rnacentral:lncRNA from 1 species
UGCAGACUGAAUUAGUACUUUUUUCCAUUUAAUUUACAUAGUUAAAUGAAUUUUGCUUGCUGUUUUGAGGGGCAGUUAAAUCAAGUGUUUAUUUAUGUGUUGAAGGAAAUUUUUAUUUUUGGUACUAAAUGAUUUUUGUGGUUGUAUGUUGUAUAUUAUAUAUAUCACAUUUUCUGUUGUAUUAUUUUAGAUUAAGGGAAACCUUGAAAUAUCUGACCAAAUUCUAUAUACAAGCCUCAUAUGAUACAAAAAGAAGAUGUGGUAUGAUUGCCAAUGAGACAACUCUCCACGAGAGAACAAAAUGACACAGAAAUGAACAACUAUAGGUCACCAUAGGACCUUCAACAAUGAGUUUUUCUUUUUUUACAAUUUUUCACUGUUCUCUUCUCCCUAAAGGACUUCCUUCCAUUGUUUUCACAGAUAUCAGUUUUUAUAAAUUUUGGAAAGAUUUUCUUUAAAAUUGAUUUUAUGCAUCAAAAGCAUUCUACAUUGAAAUUUUUAUGAAAUUGGUAUUGUUGACAAACAUUUCAAGUGUGGUUCACCUAUUUCUAAGACAUGCAAGGAAAUUAGAACCUCAUGACCUCAGAAUAUUUUGUGUGGUUCAUCUGCUGAUAAGACUAGCUUUCUUCAUUUUAUGUAAAUUUAUUUGUUAUUCCUUUAGAUAUUGCCUCAAAUUUAAAUGUCAAUUAAAGUGCUCCCUUUUCUAUAGGCCUGUAUGUAUACUUUGUCAAAACAAUGAAAUUAGAUAGAGCGGAAUAAACAGUAUUCCUUGAAUCCACAGAAAUUUGUAUCUGGGAAAAUAAGUGAAACAAUAUUGAACGAAAUUGACCAUUGUCCAGUUGUGUAUGUACAUUUUGAUCAUCUUUUUAAUGUGGCAUAAAUAUAUUUAUAUGGAUGAGUAUUCUUUGUCAAGUUUUUUGGUAAAAUAAAAUCAAG